CGUCGGAUUGAGGAUGGAAGCAUGAAAUGAACGUCUUCCUUCUUGAAAUUUUACCGUCGAUUUCGCCGUGUCUAAACCUGGAUUUUGUGGGUUGAAUCUGCGCUUAAAGGUAAAGGAGGAGCAUUGCUUGGCUUAGCCAGCACGUUUUUGAUCUCCAUUACCAAAUCCAUCCCUUUCGCACCAGAGGUGCUACAUAAAGAAGACAAUUCUUUGCAUUUGUUUUCACAACCUGGACCUCUUAAUCCAGUUCUCCUUGUCCUUAUCCAGUUUAUAUAAGGUCCUUGGGAUUUACCUGGCAUGCAGUGGUGGUCGCAGAAAUCAUCCUGGGACAGAAACAAAUGCCAUUAAUGUUCUGUGUUAGUGUAAUAAAAAAUAUCCAGUA